rnacentral:tRNA from 1 species
AAAGAGUUAGUUAAAUUAUAAUAUUAAAAUGUCAUUUUAAAGUUAUUAGAAAUUAAUAUUCUUUG